rnacentral:rRNA from 1 species
UAGGAAUAUACCUUAAAGUGGGGGACAACCUGGGGAAACUCAGGCUAAUACCGCAUAAUUUCUGAGGAAAGAAGCUGGGGACCUUCGGGCCUGGCGCUUUAAGAUUAGCCUGCGUACGAUUAGCUAGUUGGUAGGGUAAAGGCCUACCAAGGCGACGAUCGUUAGCUGGUCUGAGAGGAUGAUCAGCCACACUGGGACUGAGACACGGCCCAGACUCCUACGGGAGGCAG